rnacentral:rRNA from 1 species
AUACGGAGGAUCCGAGCGUUAUCCGGAUUUAUUGGGUUUAAAGGGUGCGCAGGCGGCCAUUUAAGUCAGCGGUUAAAUCGUGGGGCUCAACCCCAUUCUGCCGUUGAUACUGGGUGGCUUGAUUGCGGUCGAGGUUGGCGGAAUUCGUUGUGUAGCGGUGAAAUGCAUAGAUAUGACGAAGAACACCGAUUGCGUAGGCAGCUGACCAGACCGCAAAUGACGCUCAUGCACGAAAGUGCGGGGAUCGAACAGGAUUAGAUACCCUGGUAGUCCGCACAGUAAACGAUGAAUACUUGUUUUCGGCGAUAUAAUGUCGGAGGCAAAGCGAAAGCGAUAAGUAUUCCACCUGGGGAGUACGCCGUCAACGGUGAAACUUAAAGGAAUUGACGGGG